UUCACUCAGGAGGUCACGUUUCAUAUCAAUUAAUCUUGUCGCGCUGUAAGGAUAUUGGGUAUGUGCCUCCUG